rnacentral:rRNA from 1 species
GACGAACGCUGGCGGCGUGCUUAACACAUGCAAGUCGAACGCUGAAGCUCAGCUUUUGUUGGGUGGAUGAGUGGCGAACGGGUGAGUAACACGUGAGUAACCUGCCUCCUUCUUUGGGAUAACGCCCGGAAACGGGUGCUAAUACUGGAUAUUCACUGGUCUUCGCAUGGGGGUUGGUGGAAAGGGUUUUUCUGGUGGGGGAUGGGCUCGCGGCCUAUCAGCUUGUUGGUGGGGUGAUGGCCUACCAAGGCUUUGACGGGUAGCCGGCCUGAGGGGGUGACCGGUCACGUUGGGACUGGGAUACGGCCCAGACUCCUACGGGAGGCAGCAGUGGGGAAUAUUGCACAAUGGGCGCAAGACUGAUGCAGCGACGCCGCGUGAGGGAUGGAGGCCUUCGGGUUGUGAACCUCUUUCGCUCAUGGUCAAGCCGCAACAAUGGUUGUGGUGAGGGUAGUGGGUAAAGAAGCGCCGGCUAACUACGUG